GAUGAACGCUGGCGGCGUGCCUAAUACAUGCAAGUCGAGCGAACAGACGAGGAGCUUGCUCCUCUGACGUUAGCGGCGGACGGGUGAGUAACACGUGGAUAACCUACCUAUAAGACUGGGAUAACUUCGGGAAACCGGAGCUAAUACCGGAUAACAUGUUGAACCGCAUGGUUCAACAGUGAAAGACGGUCUUGCUGUCACUUAUAGAUGGAUCCGCGCCGCAUUAGCUAGUUGGUAAGGUAACGGCUUACCAAGGCAACGAUGCGUAGCCGACCUGAGAGGGUGGUCGGCCACACUGGAACGGAGACACGGUCCAGACUCCUACGGGAGGCAGCAGUAGGGAAUCUUCCGCAGUGGGCGAAAGCCUGACGGAGCAACGCCGCGUGAGUGAAGAAGGUCUUCGGAUCGUAAAACUCUGUUAUUAGGGAAGAACAAAUGUGUAAGUAACUAUGCACGUCUUGACGGUACCUAAUCAGAAAGCCACGGCUAACUACGUG
rnacentral:rRNA from 1 species